CCUACGGGAGGCAGCAGUAGGGAAUUUUCGGCAAUGGGGGGAACCCUGACCGAGCAACGCCGCGUGAACGAAGAAGUUAUUCGUAAUGUAAAGUUCUUUUAACAGGGAAGGAAGAGAAAUUUGACGGUACCUGAAGAAUAAGCUCCGGCUAACUACGUGCCAUCAGCCGCGGUAAUACGUAGGGAGCGAGCGUUAUCCGGAAUUAUUGGGCGAAAAGGGUGCGUAGAUGGCAUAGUAAGUCUUUUGUAAAAAUGCUGGGCUCAACCCAGUAGGGCAAAAGAUACUGCAAAGCUAGAGUAUGACAGAGGCAAGUGGAACUACAUGUGUAGCGGUAAAAUGCGUAAAUAUAUGUAAGAACACCAGUGGCGAAGGCGGCUUGCUGGGUCGAUACUGACAUUGAGGCACGAAAGCGUGGGGAGCAAACAGGAUUAGAUACCCCUGUAGUC
rnacentral:rRNA from 1 species